ACUCGAUAGUAAGGACAAGCAUCAGGUAACUUCUUGAAUCGCUCCCAAUAUUCAUGGAGUGUUUCCAGAUGCCUUUUGCAUGAUACAAGAAAUCUCUUUUCUCGGCC